rnacentral:rRNA from 1 species
UACGUAGGGUGCAAGCGUUGUCCGGAAUUAUUGGGCGUAAAGAGCUCGUAGGCGGUUUGUCGCGUCGGCUGUGAAAACCCGGGGCUCAACCCCGGGCCUGCAGUCGAUACGGGCAAACUAGAGUGCGGUAGGGGAGACUGGAAUUCCUGGUGUAGCGGUGAAAUGCGCAGAUAUCAGGAAGAACACCGGUGGCGAAGGCGGCUCUCUGGGCCUUACCUGACGCUGAGGAGCGAAAGCGUGGGUAGCGAACAGG